ensembl:misc_RNA 7SK 7SK RNA
UGAUGUGAGAACGAUCUGGCUGUGGUAUCUGUCACCCCAUUGAUUGCCAAGGUUGAUUUGGUUGAUCUGUCUGGCCAGGUGGGUAUCCAUUUUCUCCCUCACCAUUCUACGUGUUCUCUCCUGAAGCUGAACAUAGCUCCAAGAAGACAACUUGUCCUGGUAGAGGACCAUUUUUCAGGUAGCUGAGCUCCCCUGCUAGAUCCUAUAAACAAGCUCUCCAGGUCCAUUUGUAGGAGAAGGUAGACUAAUAAAGCUUCCAAGACUCCAGACACAUCCAAAUGAGGUGCUGCAGGUGGCAGUCUGCCUUUAUUA